UAAUAAUGAUAGAAUUAGUAUAUUUAUUUGUAUAUAANUUUUUACCUUCUGAAUUUAUUAUAAGGAACUAGGCAAAAUUGAUUUCCGCCUGUUUAUCAAAAACAUGUCCUCUUGNAAAAUACUUUGAGGUCUGGCCUGCCCACUGAGCAGNNNAUUUUUAAAGAGCCGCGGUAUUUUGACCGUGCAAAGGUAGCAUAAUCAUUAGUCUCUUAAUUAGUGGCUGGAAUGAAUGGCUUGACGAGAAAUCAACUGUCUCUUAAUAAAUUUUUGAAUUUAACUUUUGAGUCAAAAGGCUUAAAUUUUUCUUUAGGACGAGAAGACCCUAUAGAGCUUAACAUUUUAUUUUUAUAUAGUUUUUUGUUUGUCUUUCUAUAUUUAAUGAUGAUGUUUUGUUGGGGUGACAUGAAGAAUAAAUAAACUCUUCAUUAUUAUAUCAUUUAUUUAUGUUUGUUGUUUUGAUCCAUAAUUUAUGAUCAUAAGAUUAAGUUACCUUAGGGAUAACAGCGUAAUUGUUUUUGAGAGCUCAUAUCGACAAAGCAGAUUGCGACCUCGAUGUUGGAUUAAGAAAAAUUUUGGGUGCAGUAGCCCAGUGAUUAGGUCUGUUCGACCUUUAAAUUCUUACAUGAUCUGAGUUCAGACCGGCGUGAGCCAGGUCGGUUUCUAUCCUAAGAUUNAUUAAUUCAUAUUAGUACGAAAGGACCAUAUGGUUGAAAUANNUUUUUUGUUUUAUNUGAUUAAUAUUAAUUAAAUUACUAUUUU
rnacentral:rRNA from 1 species